rnacentral:rRNA from 1 species
CCUACGGGAGGCAGCAGUGGGGGAUAUUGGACAAUGGGGGAAACCCUGAUCCAGCGAUGCCGCGUGAGGGAAGAAGGUUUUCGGAUUGUAAACCUCUGUGGAGGGGGACGAUAAUGACGGUACCCCUUUAGGAAGCCACGACUAACUACGUGCCAGCAGCCGCGGUAAUACGUAGGUGGCGAGCGUUGUCCGGAAUUACUGGGUGUAAAGGGAGUGUAGGCGGGAAAGCAAGUCAGAAGUGAAAACUAUGGGCUUAACCCAUAGCCUGCUUUUGAAACUGAGUAGCUAGAGUGCAGGAGAGGUAAGCGGAAUUCCUAGUGUAGCGGUGAAAUGCGUAGAUAUUAGGAGGAACACCAGUGGCGAAGGCGGCUUACUGGACUGUAACUGACGUUGAGGCUCGAAAGCGUGGGGAGCAAACAGGAUUAGAUACCCCUGUAGUC